rnacentral:lncRNA from 1 species
GCCUGGCAGGAAGCUCGAGAAUUACAGAGAAUUUUGAGAUCAUUAAAAUGAGAGAAAAUACUCCAAGAAAAAAGUGUGAGUGAGUAUUUUACCAAAAAAAAAAGAAAGUGUGAGUUAGCAAACUGGUUAAGAUUUCCGGGAGAGGAUACAACUUGACCCAUGUUUCACUGUCAAUGCAUUCAGCUCACAAUAACACCGGUUAUCUAUAAAAACUAAAAUGUCAUCAAAAUGCAGGCCGAAAGACUAUUGUUGAAUAAUGGCCCAAGGCAUGCUAUGUACGUAGUGGAUGGUACAGAUUUCCCGGACCCUUCCCCAAAACGAAAUUUAAACGUUGACCGUUACUUUUAAUUAAGUUGGCUCCUUUACCACAUACAUAGUUACAAACACUAAGACACCAUAACCACCAUGGCUAUC